GACGAACGCUGGCGGCGUGCUUAACACAUGCAAGUCGAACGGAAAGGCCCUGCUUUUGUGGGGUGCUCGAGUGGCGAACGGGUGAGUAACACGUGAGUAACCUGCCCUUGACUUUGGGAUAACUUCAGGAAACUGGGGCUAAUACCGGAUAGGAGCUCCUGCUGAAUGGUGGGGGUUGGAAAGUUUCGGCGGUUGGGGAUGGACUCGCGGCUUAUCAGCUUGUUGGUGGGGUAGUGGCUUACCAAGGCUUUGACGGGUAGCCGGCCUGAGAGGGUGACCGGCCACAUUGGGACUGAGAUACGGCCCGGACUCCUACAGGAGGAAGCAGUGGGGAAUAUUGCACAAUGGGCGGCAGCCUGAUGCAGCAACGCCGCGUGCGGGAUGACGGCCUUCGGGUUGUAAACCGCUUUGGCCUGUGACGAAGCGUGAGUGACGGUAAUGGGUAAAGAUGCACCGGCUAACUACGUG
rnacentral:rRNA from 1 species